rnacentral:rRNA from 1 species
AACGCGAAGAACCUUACCAGGACUUGACAUGGGAGUGCCGCGCGCAGAGAUGCGCGUUUCCGCGAGGACACUCCGCACAGGUGCUGCAUGGCUGUCGUCAGCUCGUGUCGUGAGAUGUUGGGUUAAGUCCCGCAACGAGCGCAACCCUUGUCUCAUGUUGCCAGCGCGUUAUGGCGGGGACUCGUGAGAGACUGCCGGGGUCAACUCGGAGGAAGGUGGGGAUGACGUCAAGUCAUCAUGCCCCUUAUGUCCAGGGCUUCACACAUGCUACAAUGGCCGGUACAAAGGGCUGCGAUGCCGUGAGGCUUAGCGAAUCCUUUAAAGCCGGUCUCAGUUCGGAUCGGGGUCUGCAACUCGACCCCGUGAAGUCGGAGUCGCUAGUAAUCGCAGAUCAGCAACGCUGCGGUGAAUACGUUCCCGGGCCUUGUACACACCGAGACGAC